CUUUAAAAUGCGAACUUCCAGGUUCUGGUGUCUGUUUAGGACAUUCUGAUUCUUCAGCAGUUCAAGCCAAGCUUAUACGUGCAUGUGUAUUUUGUUCUUCCCAGAAUGGUGGAAAUGCUGAAUAAAGAACUUCACCCCAAAUUUGAAUGUCUUCCAAGCGCCGGAGUCUCAGUGAAGAUAGAAAGUUUUUAAUGCAAUUGAGAAGCAUGAAAAAAAAAAAGUCCGCAACUUUGAACAGAUGGGAAUUCUGGGGUAAUUACAGAUGGCACCCUGGACCCAUAAAAUUCAGGGAAAAAGAAGAGGGGCCUGGUUCGCAGCCCCAGUGGAGGGGGAAGCAUUUGAAGGCAGCAGGCUGUGCCAGGAGCUCUACUCUCCCCACCUCCACUCAGGCGCCCCCAUGCCCUCCAGCCAAGCCCAGUGGAUGCCUCAGCAGCCUGUGUGAGUGGGGCUGCGUCCACAGCUUCAUCCGCUCCCCCUGCCCCGUCCUGGGCCAUUUCAUUUCCGGUGUUGUGUUACUUCCCUAUUCAGCCCUCGCUCCGCUGGUCUAGUUGGGUCUAUUCCUUCUGUUGGCCUGUUACCUUCAAGUCAGGAAGACUGUUGGCAGAGCAGUACGCUCCCAUCUCACAUUCUCUUUGCUUAAGUCACCCACCUCCCAAAGCAAUUGCCACCCUGAGAGGUAGGAAGAGCCCGCGUGUUUGCAUACAUAAUGAACUUUUUCUCUUUUCUGGGCAUGGAGGCCAGAGGAGCAGAGAAAGAUGAUACUGUUCAUAUUUUCUAGAAAAUCUGUGGAGUUGCUAACAACAAAAGUAAAAGCAAGCAAAGACUAAAUAAAAGGCAUUGGUUAAAUUUGUCCUCAUAUCACCCGAUUACCUAAGUACAAUUCUGUUCCAACAUGUGUUUGACCCAUCUGCUUUUAGAUGACGAUCCUUCUGAUAUUUUCUGCUUCUAUUUCAUCAGUUUACCUCUCUGGUCUCUUCUGCUUGUCACCCUCAUCAAUGCACAUGCUCCCCUCA